CAAUUGCAAGUUUCGAUAAUGUAAAACAUAUUUGUGUUUGUCUUCAAGAGUGCAUUGCCGACCAACUUAAACCAGGACUUGUAUAAAAAUGGCAUGGAUCAAGAUCAUAGCAUUGUUGGGACAUAUUCCGAAAUUCUUCGAAAACAUCAGCCAGCAAUAACACAUCAGUUUUAAGGGCUGCUUGGACUCUGAGCAUAGUUGUGAUCAAA